ACAAAGAAAGAAAGAAAGAAAAUGAUUAUCUCCUGCUCCUCUUUGGGACUGACUGGUGCUUUCCAAAUGGAAGGGACAACCUUUACAUCACUUCUCACCAGCAUAACAAUUGGCUGUGCUCACUGGGACUGGUGGAAAUUGAUCCAAUAUAUCUGGAAGUUACCAGUUAGGAGAAGACUGCUCUACAAGUAUAUAUUGAUCUUCCCUAGCUCAUUUGAGUCAUCAUCUUCAAGAAAACCAACAGGUGCUGAGAAAUAAUUAAACAACUGUCAGAUUUGAUUGAGAGAGACAUAUAUGUGAUUAUGCAGUCUGUUAUCUCACUAGAAGAAGAAUAUUGCAAGGCAGAAGACACUGCACAACAAUUUGCAUGUUUCCCUGUGUGGUGCUGUUUAUUUCUAGCAAUCUUUGCUUUCUGCAGUGAUUUUUAAAGACCUCUAGCUCCUUGAAGAAGGUACUGGGAUACUUCCAAAUAGACAGCUCCUAAUGUUACCAUAACAUUGUGCAGCUGAUUGGUCUUUUUUUUGUCCAUAACAGAUUUUCUGUGGUCAGAAAAAAGCAGUAGAAAAAGAGGGAAAGGAAACAACAACAACAACAACAAAAGACACCCUUGUCUGAACAUCCAGGAAAAUUCUGGAGGCAGGGCAAUUGCACACUGAAAGACAUGUCUGGAAGCAUCCUAAAUUCCUGUGAAUGCUAGUCUUUUUCUUCGCAAUAGUUGUGUUUUCUGGAAAGCAAGUGGGCAGUUUUGCUGAAGGCCUUGUCAACAAAUGGUUCUAUAAAAUGUGACAGCUAUGUCAACUGCGUACAUGAUGUUAAAGCUACAUUCACCAGUUCAAUGAUCAGAAACAGCUUCUUCACAGUCUGGCAGUGAGUAAUGAGUGAACACAAAUGCUGCUUUCAUCUUAUGGAUGUGGCUGUCAAUCUCAUGCAUACAUAGUAGCUGGGUUUUAAGGAAUACUUGAAAUUUCUGACUUUGUUGUGCUUGGUCAGAACACCCAGAACAGAAAUCAAUAAACAUGAGACUAAA